rnacentral:tRNA from 1 species
GCAGUGGUAGUUCAGUGGUAGAACUCUAUCGCCUUCCAUGAGGGAGACUGGGGUUCGAUUCCCAGCCAAGGCA